ensembl:lincRNA
GGGGAAAGUACUUCUGUGUAUGUGUUUGUCUUACUGGUUGAUAAAUAAAGUACUGUUUGGCCAAUGAGGCAGCAAGUUAGGCAGGACUAGGAGUCAAGGAGGAUUCUGGGAAAUGUAGUAAAGAAGUGGUGAUCCACGCAGGAAGUGACACAGCAAGGAGAUUCAUAAACAAGGGUAAGAAGGAAGUGGGCCCCUUUUCUCUUCCUCCUGGUCUCUGCUCUGGAGUUGCCAUGUGAUCCUUGGGCAAGAGAGGGCGCCAGCGGAAGGCAUCCUCUAUAAGAUAAGUCUUAUAAAACAUAUAGAUUUAUGAUAAUUAAGACUGAGCUAACAGAUGAGAAAUCCUAGUCUUUGGCCAAGCAGCAUUUGUACCUAAUAUAAGUCUCUGUAUAUUAUUUGGGGCCCUAACUUGGCAGGCAGAACUCAGGUGGCUGGCAGAAAGCGCCCACAUGGUGGUAGGGCUCGGGUGGCUUUUGGUGGAAAGAUUCAUUUUAACAGUAGUCAUUAUUUCUUUUACCAAAACUUCUGGUUAUAACUGAUUUUUGUGUAAUUCAGAAAAUUUGUUUUUGGAAGAUGGGUCAAUAUUUGUUGAACAUGUAAUGUGUUUGUGGUGAUAUUUUCAGUAUCUCCACAUCGAUACUAAUUUUUUCUGACAAUUCUGUGAAAUAAAUUCUAUAGCAUUCAUAUUUUCCAGAUGAAGAACAUGACAAAUUACAAAAUGAAAGUCUUCGGUCAUACAGCUAGAAUUCUUGAGUGUAUGCACAAAACUAAUUUCCAAUUCUCAUCUUGUUCAACAUUACUCAAAAAGAAAUUUUCCGAUCAAUUUUGCUAUGUGUUGAGAAUUCAACCCCAACUCAGUUUCCUUCCAGUUUUCCUUUCCAAAGAGCAAAGGCUCUUCAGUUGUCAGAAUGAUUACCUGGAUUGAAUUUUGCAAGAAGAACCACCAAUCAAUGAUAAUUGUUCUUCCUGUGAUCAAGUCACACAAUGAAGUAACUUUUCCUCCAGUGGGAAACACUCAGAGCCUUCAUUGCUCUGUGACCAAGAAAAUAAAUUCCUUCCCAACAGCCUCCUCCACAGGCUUAUCAGAAUCCAGUCAACUCCUGAUGCUUUUAUUCCUUCACUGCCUUUGCUUUUAUCCUGUUGCUUUUUCUGAAAUAACAUUUCAAGUGAUUAAAGCAUAUUUACUUAUCAUAGAAAAUACACAAGAGAAAGCUAUUAGAUAAAAACGAUCUGUAAUUCCAUAUUACCUGUUAACUUUUUAAUGUGGUUGUUAGAAUCCUGUUUCUAUGCUGUUAUACACUGAACUCUAAGAUACUUUGAAAUAAAUGUUGAAAGAUGCUGUGCAAUUUACUCAUAUCUACUUUGUACUAGUUUUUUUAACAUAGCUUUUUUCAUUCUAUAAUUUUUCUUCAAUAUUUCAAUAAUUACAUAUUAUUCUAUUUCCAUGUAUAAGAAUGGAUUUCACAAUGUGUUGUUUUUUACUUUUCCUUUCAAAUGUAAUGUAACUGAAACAUACUUGUAAAACUUAAACUCAUAGAUCUAAGAGUAAGAUCAUUAAACACUUUUAUUUUGCUAAGACUUCCAAGAUGUGAAAAAAGUAGGUUCUACAUUAAUAAUGUAAGAGGAUGCUGUUUAUUACUGUUGAGAGAGUAAUUCUUUAUUGUUUUAAUUUAUGAAUGUUAAUUGGUAAUAAAUUGACAAACAUUAAAACUUUAUAUACUUAUUUUGUGAAUUUUCACUUGUAAAAUUGCUUCUUUACAACCACUGUCCAGUUGUUUUGUUUUUCUAAAGUAUUUAUCCUAUUGAUUCACAAUGUUCUUUAGGGAUGAGUUGAUUAUACAUGAACCCAAAACUGGUAUAGAAUUCACUGAGUAGCAAAGGGUGUCUUUGAACACCUAAUCCUAAGACCUGACCAGGGGGGUU